UCUUACAGCCAUACCACCCUGAAUGCGACUGAUCUUGGAAGCUAAGUAGGGUUGAGCCUGGCUAGUACUUGGAUGGGAGUUACACUUUCUAUAUGAGUUUGCUAACAGAA
rnacentral:rRNA from 1 species